GUCCACAAUUGUGGGGCUUUGGGCCUCCACUCCAACUCCUAUCUUCCACAUCGAUAUAGUUGUUUGAUACCUGAAAUAUUUUUUUCAGAUAGUGGAGACAGUGGAAAUAAUGGAAAGAUACAGAAUUCAUCAGUACCACUAGGGAUUCGCUGAAUGACUUUGACAAGUAACUGCGCAUCUCUGGUUCUUAACUGUGAUAUAAGCCUAGUCCAGUUGUAUUAGGCAGCAGCGUUAUGGAAUCGAGGCUGUACCUGGCAGCAGAGGAGUUGAGCGUGUAGUAACUGACUGCCUGGACGGAGAUGGAAUGAAGACUGGUGUUGGAGUUAGGGCAGGAGUGGCAAGGAGGAACUGGCAGAGUGAGAGCCAAUGGUCUGGGUGAGGUUUUGAUCUGCCAGCAAAUACAUGUAAUUUUAGGGACUCCAUAGAAGUGGUGGGGUCAGUUCUUGUUCUGCACUGCUCAGAGUGAGGUAGCUCUUGCUUUUUCUUUUGGUCAAGGAUCUUUUAAGCCAGAAAGCCUUCCCUGUCUUAUAUACACACCCUUUGUGUUUGUGCAGAUCUCUUUCCGAACUCACCCCAUUAUAGUAAACUUGUGCCCCAACCACCACA